UUGAUCAUGGGCUCAGGAUGAACGCUAGCGGCAGGCUUAAUACAUGCAAGUCGAGGGGCAGCAGUUUUGUAGCAAUACAGAAGCUGGCGACCGGCAAACGGGUGCGGAACACGUACGCAACCUUCCUCUAACUGGAAGAUAGCCCACCGAAAGGUGGAUUAAUAUUCCAUAGUAUAUUGAAAAGGCAUCUUUUUGAUAUUAAAGCUCCGGCGGUUAGAGAUGGGCGUGCGUCUGAUUAGGUAGUUGGCGGGGUAACGGCCCACCAAGCCUACGAUCAGUAGCUGAUGUGAGAGCAUGAUCAGCCACACGGGCACUGAGACACGGGCCCGACUCCUACGGGAGGCAGCAGUAAGGAAUAUUGGUCAAUGGACGCAAGUCUGAACCAGCCAUGCCGCGUGGAGGAUGAAGGCCCUCUGGGUUGUAAACUUCUUUUCUUUGGGACGAAACCCCUGUUUCUACGGGGACUGACGGUACCAGAGGAAUAAGCACCGGCUAACUCCGUGCCAGCAGCCGCGGUAAUACGGAGGGUGCAAGCGUUAUCCGGAUUCACUGGGUUUAAAGGGAGCGUAGGUGGGCUUU
rnacentral:rRNA from 1 species